rnacentral:rRNA from 1 species
CCCUUAGAUGUCCUGGGCCGCACGCGUGCUACACUGAUGCAUACAGCGAGCACUUCCCGGUGCCGAAAGGCUACUGGUAAUCAGCAAUAUGCAUCGUGAUGGGGAUAGAUCUUUGGAAUUCUUGAUCUUGAACGAGGAAUGCCUAGUAGGCGCAAGUCAUUACCUUGCGUCGAUUAAGUCCCUGCCCUUUGUACACACCGCCCGUCGCUCCUACCGAUUUGAGUGAUCCGGUGAGCCUUUUGGACCGGAUUGUUUCGGCAGUUUGGAAAAUCAAGCAAACCACAUCACUUAGAGGAAGGAGAANUCGUANCA